AGUCGAACGGGACUCUUCGGAGUUCAGUGGCGGACGGGUGAGUAACGCGUGAGAAUCUGCCUAGAGGAUGGGGACAACCACGGGAAACUGUGGCUAAUACCCAAUGAGCGGAGACGUUAAAGAUUUAUCGCCUCUAGAGGAGCUCGCGUCUGAUUAGCUAGUUGGUGGGGUAAAAGCCUACCAAGGCGACGAUCAGUAGCUGGUCUGAGAGGACAACCAGCCACACUGGGACUGAGACACGGCCCAGACUCCUACGGGAGGCAGCAGUGGGGAAUUUUCCGCAAUGGGCGAAAGCCUGACGGAGCAAUACCGCGUGAGGGAGGAAGGCUCUUGGGUCGUAAACCUCUUUUCUCAGGGAAGAAGAAAGUGACGGUACCUGAGGAAUCAGCCUCGGCUAACUCCGUGCCAGCAGCCGCGGUAAUACGGAGGAGGCAAGCGUUAUCCGGAAUUAUUGGGCGUAAAGCGUCCGUAGGUGGCUCUUCAAGUCUGCUGUCAAAGAGUGGGGCUUAACUCCAGAAAGGCAGUGGAAACUGAAAGGCUAGAGAGCCGUAGGGGUAGAGGGAAUUCCCGGUGUAGCGGUGAAAUGCGUAGAGAUCGGGAAGAACAUCGGUGGCGAAAGCGCUCUACUGGACGGUAUCUGACACUGAGGGACGAAAGCUAGGGGAGCGAAUGGGAUUAGAUACCCCAGUAGUCCUAGCCGUA
rnacentral:rRNA from 1 species